GACGAACGCUGGCGGCGUGCUUAACACAUGCAAGUCGAACGGAAAGGCCUGCUUUCCCUUGUGGAUUGCGGGUACUCGAGUGGCGAACGGGUGAGUAACACGUGAGUGAUCUGCCCCCAACUUGGGUAUAAGCCUGGGAAACUGGGUCUAAUUCCCGAUAGGACUGCAGGGUGGUGCCUGUGGUGGAAAACGAUUUUCUAGUGGUUGGGGAUGAGCUCGCGGCCUAUCAGCUUGUUGGUGGGGUAAUGGCCUACCAAGGCGGCGACGGGUAGCCGGCCUGAGAGGGUGGGCGGCCACAUUGGGACUGAGAUACGGCCCAGACUCCUACGGGAGGCAGCAGUGGGGAAUAUUGCACAAGGGGCGGAAGCCUGAUGCAGCGACGCCGCGUGGGGGAUGACGGCCUUCGGGUUGUAAACUCCUUUCGACCGCGAGGAAGCCACCUGGUUGGAAGGGUGGUGACGGUAGUGGUAGAAGAAGCACCGGCUAACUACGUG
rnacentral:rRNA from 1 species